ACCUUCUUUGACUCUUGACUAGUCGAAGUACGCUCCCUCCAAAAUUGCACCUGCUAUGGUUGACGAGUCAUAAACAAGUGGAUGUAGUUACCCUCAGUCACUGAUGACCUUGUACGGUUCAUUGGGCCUCAAUCGCCAAGGGUCGUCGACCUCCGUGUAUUCACUUCGUAACUCGAAAUUGUUGCUCCAAACUUCUAGAUAAGCU
rnacentral:lncRNA from 1 species